rnacentral:lncRNA from 1 species
UCAUAAAAAAAGCCUGCAGGAAAAAAUAUAUUAAAUCUUUGUUAAAUUCAAAAUGUUAAAGCAAGGGACGCUAGUAAUUCAGAUUCGAAAGGACGACUCACAUGAGUAUCUGAAGGAGAAUAAUACUCCUACUAUAACUAGGAGCCAAAGUAAACAUGAGUAUUUGGUCUGUUAUCGGGUUUUUUUUUGACAGCCGGUCUGUUAUCGUAUUUGCUGGUAUGCCCAGCCGUUUGCCGUUUGGUCUGUGCAAAUUUAAGCUGGUUUCCCCAGCAGCUACUUGCUCAGUUUGUCUGGUUUGGGCUUUGUACACAAAGCUGGACAUGAGGUGCCUUUUCGUCUAAAAAAAAGCAAACAUGAGACUGCACUUGACAAUUUCAAAACUUGUGAAUGUUCUCUGAUUUUAAAUACCCCUUCCGUUUCAUAUUAAGCGACAAAAUAUUACAUGUAUCUAAACGUAUUUUGGAUAUAAAUACAUUCAUAUUUGAACAAAUUUGAGCAAGCUAAUAUGGAACGGAGGAUUAUUAUGAAAAUGUGUAUGCGUGGCAUACUGGCAUCUGCAGUGUCGGAUCACCCUGUGCAAAACCGAACCGUAAACCGAAAAACCGGAAGAAAAUAACCGUAACCGAACUGAAAGUUCGGUUUUCUCGGUUUUCGGUUCCGGUUCCGGUUCCGGGUAGCCAAACUGCUAACCGUAUGGGUUUCGGUUAAACCGAAAAAACCCGAAACUCAGACUCCCCUCGUUCGUUCCACGCGCGCCACGCCCCCACGAACCGGCCAGGCGAGCCCAGCCCAACUUCCAACCGGCCCAUCUAACCUCCUAGCGCCUGCCUUGACCUAAUCCACUCGACGCACGCUCCGCGCCCGCGCCUCCGCUCUUCCCGACGGCCUCCACUCCCGUCGUUCCCCUCGCCUCGAGAGGUCGAGCCGCCGCCGCUACCAGCCCACUCCGGCACUCCCUCUCUCCCACCGAGCCGCCGCCAGCCCACUCCUUCUCUACCAGCAGGCAGCAGGCAGCGCCAGACGCCGUUGGCCGCCAGCUCACUCCCUUUCCUUCGAUGCGCCUUCGCUCACCUCGUCCCAAGCGCUACUCCUCCUCUCCUCCCGCCGCGCCGGGAUCUCCCAAGCUCUAGCCGCGCUAGCCUCGGACCCCUCCUACAAGACAGUGCUCGAGUCGCCCUGGGCCACGUCGGGCAAUUACUUGUGCCCGCACUCACCGACAUGCCGCUGUUCUACAAGACAAUGCUCGAGUCGCCUCGUCGUCAGCUGUUCGGUGGCAUUCCAGACCCUGACGAGGAGACACAGUUGUGGAGAGAACACUGAGAUCGGCGUGAGGCUACCCUGGUGAAUCGAGCUGUUGUGUUCUUAAUUGAUGAACCAACGGAGGAAUCGGCCACAAAAUAAAGCCAUCCACCGCAUCUGAGCCAGGACAUCUUUGAUUUCCUGCCGCCAGACGCAUCGAGCUGCUGCAUGCAGCAAGACUUCAAUUAAUUGUACAAUCUACAUGCUCGGUUCUUUGAUCGUUUGAUCUUGCGUUAGCCCAGUGCUCAUGUGGUGAUUCACUCCAGUGAAAUCAGAAAAAGGAAUUUAGGAAGGAGGCGUUUCUAGUGAGGUUCUAAUAGAAACAUGUUUAUGUAUUUGCGCUUUAUGGCUAUCAAAACGUACACAUCUGCUCUCAGGCAUUUCUCAGCCCAGGUCACUAACCAAACACCCCAUGUACAUGUAUGCCUGGUCAGGUAAAAACAUACAAAUUUUCAGGAAGCUCUCAAGCAUUGCUUCAGAAGAGUUCAUGCCAAAAUUUCAAUUUUCUUCUUUAUUAUGAGUUGUCAGAUUGUUGAAACAUGUGUAUAAAAAUUUACGUGUC